CGAGGGGCGACCGGUGGGCGCGUGGGGCGAGAAGGAGGCUGAGGGGCUGGCGGGUGAGGUAACCGAGGGUGGGCGCUGGCGCGGCCGUGAGGUAGCGCGGUGUGGUCUUCUCCACAGGCGUGCCUGCCCCCGAGCGGAGACGUCGCGGCAGAGGGGAGGAACGGAAUGAAACGAGAAGCAGGAGCGCAGAAGGUCAAGUAUGGAGCUGCAGUGUGACUAGGGAAGAGCUACAUGUGACAGCAGCUGCCAUUUUUUGAGGACAUGUUCCAUCCUGCCAGAUGUCUUUUUCACACAGCAGUAUAUUUUCCUCAUCACCACGACAACGCACUUCACUCCAGUAAACAGGAAUAAGGCCCAGUCCAGAAAAUGAAUUCCCAGUGACAACAGUGGAAGAAUUCAUUCAUGUACACAGAGCAAAAGAUAUCACAAGUGAUAUCUUCUGCACAUCAGCAACUCUCUUCCCAACAAUUGAAAUAUGGACAGCUGUGCAUAGAAGCACCCAUGUUUUGUGAAGGGCAGUAGCUUUCAUUAAGUGACCUGUGUUCAUCUCAUAAGAAAAUACAAUG